rnacentral:rRNA from 1 species
GACAGAGGGGGCAAGCGUUGCUCGGAAUUACUGGGCGUAAAGGGCGCGUAGGCGGCCUGCUAAGUCGAACGUGAAAUCCCUGGGCUCAACCCAGGAACUGCGUCCGAUACUGGUUGGCUUGAAUCCGGGAGAGGGACGUGGAAUUCCAGGUGUAGCGGUGAAAUGCGUAGAUAUCUGGAGGAACACCGGUGGCGAAGGCGACGUCCUGGACCGGCAUUGACGCUGAGGCGCGAAAGCCAGGGGAGCAAACGGG